AUCCAGCUCACGAGUCCCAAAUAGGACGAAACGCGCAUCCUGGAU
rnacentral:hammerhead_ribozyme from 1 species